AGCUAAUGAUGUGGCUCAUGUUUA
rnacentral:siRNA from 1 species